GUGGGGAAUAUUGGACAAUGGGCGAAAGCCUGAUCCAGCCAUGCCGCGUGUGUGAAGAAGGUCUUCGGAUUGUAAAGCACUUUAAGUUGGGAGGAAGGGCAGUAAGUUAAUACCUUGCUGUUUUGACGUUACCGACAGAAUAAGCACCGGCUAACUUCGUGCCAGCAGCCGCGGUAAUACGAAGGGUGCAAGCGUUAAUCGGAAUUACUGGGCGUAAAGCGCGCGUAGGUGGUUUUGUAAGUUGGAGGUGAAAUCCCCGGGCUCAACCUGGGAACUGCCUCCAAAACUGCAUGACUAGAGGACGGUAGAGGGUAGUGGAAUUUCCUGUGUAGCGGUGAAAUGCGUAGAUAUAGUAAGGAACACCAGUGGCGAAGGCGACUACCUGGACUGAUACUGACACUGAGGUGCGAAAGCGUGGGGAGCAAACAGGAUUAGAUACCCGAGUAGUCC
rnacentral:rRNA from 1 species